GGAUGUCAUUUUCAAAACCCGCAUGUGUCCGGGUCCGGUUCCGGGUUUAGAUAAAUCCGUACAUCCAGACCCGGACCCGGAUAUAUAUUAAUUUUUAAAAAUUAUUUUUAAUAUAAAUAGGAAAGCAAAAAAACUCAAAGGUGCCCUAGCAGCUCAUUAUCCUUUUCCAGCUGCACAAACAUUUCCUCUCUCAUUCCCUCUUCAGCUCAUCUUCAUCAAAUCAAAUCAUCGUCGCAUCACUUGCCCAUCUUCGCGGCUGUUCAACAUCAUCAUCAGCCGUCGUUUCCUUAUCUUUUCUGUCGCAACCGGUAACCAGCUGUGAUACGGGUUGAACGCCGCCUUCGCCAAUCGCAAUCGCGGCUGAGAGAGAGAGAGAACGUGGCUUACUCAAUGCCACUUAUCAUGCUUUCAUCUUUUUUUCAUCUAAUGCAGGGUGGUGUGGUGGUGUCUGUCUUUGUUGGCUUUUUGGAAAACUUGUUGCUUUUAAUGGCGUAUUACUUCUUCUGAAUAUCCAAUCAACUUUAACUUAUUUGCAUUACCCCUCCAGCUUUCCCAUCACCAUUAAAAGUGCUUUGGCUGCUCCUUGACUCCUGACUUCCUGCUCGCAACAAAAGCUAGUUCUUUAGCUCUCUUUACUAAUGUUUUGAACGAGUCCCCACAUUGGGUUGCUGAUUCUGGGCAGCCAAACAAAAUUGUUGUUUUUGUUAAUUAGUUUCCAGAUGAAAUAAUUUUUCUUUGAUUUGCUGAAAUCCUGGAUAUGUAUUUCUAUUUGAUUUUUUUAGUGGAAUUUAGUUUUUUUUUUCAAUUGGAUUCAUCAAUUCGGGUUGAAAACCCGCAGUCCGGGAACCCGGAUUUUUCCGGGUUGAACCCGUACCGAACCCGGAGUGGAAAAUUACGGGUUUAUUUUCGGGUCCGGUACAGAAAAUAUUCGUCCGGGUCCGGAUCCGGAAUGACUGAACCCGGACCCAGACCCGGAUUUUGCCAUCCCUAGACCCACACAUAUCUAAUAUAAUAUUUUUUUGACAGGGACCCUAAAAUUACUAAUAUUUUUUUUCUUUGGUUUCUGAGAGUCAAAGUCUUGCAAUCCAAACACUUAUGUAUUGUUUACUUUCUCGAG
rnacentral:lncRNA from 1 species